GGGGACACUGGGAGGAACUGGGAGGGACUGGGAGGGACUGGGAGGCACUGGGAGCAACUGGUGGGGGUUGGGAGGGAAAUGGGAAGGGACUGGGAGCAACUGGUGGGCACUGGGAGGGACUGGGAGGGAGCUUGGGGGCACUGGGAGGGAGCUGGAAGGGACUGGGGGGCACUGGGAGGAACUGGGAGGAACUGGGAGGGACUGGGAGGCACUGGGAGCAACUGGUGGGGGUUGGGAGGGAAAGGGGAAGGGACUGGGAGCAACUGGUGGGCACUGGGAGGGAGCUUGGGGGCACUGGGAGGGAGCUGGAAGGGACUGGUGGGCACUGGGAGGCACUGGGAGGCACUGGGAGGGAGCUGGAAGGGACUGGGAGGGAGCUGGAAGGGACUGGUGGGGGUUGGGAGGGAAAUGGGAAGGGACUGGGAGCAACUGGUGGGCACUGGGAGGGACUGGGAGGGAGCUUGGGGGCACUGGGAGGGAGCUGGAAGGGACUGGGGGGCACUGGGAGGAACUGGGAGGGACUGGGAGGGACUGGGAGGCACUGGGAGCAACUGGGAGCAACUGGUGGGGGUUGGGAGGGAAAUGGGAAGGGACUGGGAGCAACUGGUGGGCACUGGGAGGGACUGGGAGGGGGCUGGGAGCAACUGGUGGGUACUGGGAGGGGACUGGGAGAGACUGGUGGGCACUGGGAGGAAACUGGGAGGGAUUGAGAGUUACUGGUAGAGUACUGGGAUGGCACUGGGGGGCACUGGGAGGCACUGGGAGGCACUGGGUAAGAGCUGGAGGUGAA
ensembl:lncRNA